CAUGCUUACAUUUGGUCCAUCCCGGUUUACUGUAACCAGCCGGUUCGUUGACGCACAUAAAACCGUUGACCGUUUCCGGUUUUCAAAACCUUGAUCAAAACUUGCAUAUGUGCAAUUAUUUCUCCAAUCUUCGAUCAAUUUGCCUCAAAUAAUUUCAACUCAACCAAAAACACUCGAUCAAAGCUCUUUAAUUUCCCACCAGCCUUAAGCAAUCAUGUUGGAGCUCAACUUAAUUAUCCGAUUUGUAGCGAUUCUGUUUCUGUUCUUGAGCUCUAGUUGUUUCACUUCCUUAGUUCAAUCUGUCUGUGUCUGUAACAGAAGCAGUGAUUUGGUUGGUUUGUACUAUGCUGACCAACGAAACAAUCUUGCUUCAAAUUUCCUACACAUAAACACCAACACCAGUACCAGCGAUGUUCUCAACUAUAACCCAAACUGGAUCCCUAGUCAAAUAAUGUAUAAGAAAAUGCACAAGAGGGGCGCUAAUCUGACAUCUGCAGUGUGGAUUCAGAGCUAUACCUCUUCUUAUAUCAAUCGUGUGGUUUGUUCGUGUGUGAAUAGUUCGAUUUCAACGGAUUAUUGUUUGCUCUUGUACAGUGUUUGGCAGAAGAAUACUUUGGAUUCGGUUUCAUUGGCGCCGGUUCCUAGUCCAGACGUAGAUCUGUUCAUAGUUCCGGCUUUAAAGGCUUUAAGAUGGCAGUAUACAGAUUAUACAGUUGCUUUUGUUGAAAACUCAACCUUAAAAGGUUUUGCUUCUUUGAGAAAAUCAUUCGAUUAUGAUGAUCAGCGUAUUCCUAUAGAUGUAAAUAGAAAUCAUCCACCCUUAAGAAAAUGCUCAGGUGACCGGCAGUUACCUUUAGAUUAGUACAAUAUGAUAUAUUCUUAAAUCGAAACGUGUUUCACAGAACCCAGAUUAUCACGUGGGGCCAUAGUUGGAAUAACUUUAGGAGUAGUAGCUGUCUUGAUGAGCCAUGCAAGAUGCUUAUAUAAUAGAGUUUAUAGAAAGACAAAAGCUGAAAAAAGGUCGGCAUUGCUAAGGCCUAUUCAAGGUUCAGAGUCUAGGGGUGCACUUGCUGCAGGGCUUGUAGGUAUAACAAUUGACAAAGCGGUGGAGUUUUCAUAUGAAGAGCUUUCAAAAGCUACAAAUGACUUCAGUCUUGGUAACAAGAUUGGUCAAGGUGGUUUUGGUGUUGUUUAUUAUGCAGAGCUCAGAGGGGAGGUUUGGAACUAGGACUUUUAUUUUACUCUGUUGCUUCAUGCAUGUGAUAGGAUCUAGAGG